CAGUAGCCACGGUAAUACGUAGGGUGCGAGCGUUAAUCGGAAUUACUGGGCGUAAAGCGUGCGCAGGCGGCUUCUUAAGUCGGAUGUGAAAUCCCUGAGCUUAACUUAGGAAUUUCAUUCGAUACUGGGAAGCUAGAGUAUGGGAGAGGAUGGUAGAAUUCCAGGUGUAGCGGUGAAAUGCGUAGAGAUCUGGAGGAAUACCGAUGGCGAAGGCAGCCAUCUGGCCUAAUACUGACGCUGAGGUACGAAAGCAUGGGGAGCAAACAGGAUUAGAUACCCCGGUAGUCCCUGUCUCUUAUAC
rnacentral:rRNA from 1 species